GAUGAACGCUGGCGGCGUGCCUAAUACAUGCAAGUCGAGCGAACGGACGAGAAGCUUGCUUUUCUGAUGUUAGCGGCGGACGGGUGAGUAACACGUGGAUAACCUACCUAUAAGACUGGGAUAACUUCGGGAAACCGGAGCUAAUACCGGAUAAUAUUUUGAACCGCAUGGUUCAAAAGUGAAAGACGGUCUUGCUGUCACUUAUAGAUGGAUCCGCGCUGCAUUAGCUAGUUGGUAAGGUAACGGCUUACCAAGGCAACGAUGCAUAGCCGACCUGAGAGGGUGAUCGGCCACACUGGAACUGAGACACGGUCCAGACUCCUACGGGAGGCAGCAGUAGGGAAUCUUCCGCAAUGGGCGAAAGCCUGACGGAGCAACGCCGCGUGAGUGAUGAAGGUCUUCGGAUCGUAAAACUCUGUUAUUAGGGAAGAACAUAUGUGUAAGUAACUGUGCACAUCUGGACGGUACCUAAUCAGAAAGCCACGGCUAACUACGU
rnacentral:rRNA from 1 species